CCCUUAGAUGUCCGGGGCCGCACGCGCGCUACACUGAAGGAAUCAGCGUGGCUUUCUCCCUGACCCGAAAGGGUUGGGAAACCCGUUGAAUCUCCUUCGUGAUAGGGAUUGGGGCUUGAAAUUGUUCCCCAUGAACGAGGAAUUCCCAGUAAGCGCGAGUCAUAAGCUCGCGUUGAUUACGUCCCUGCCCUUUGUACACACCGCCCGUCGCUACUACCGAUUGAACGGUUUAGUGAGGGCCUCGGAUUGGUCUCGGCCCGCUCUUUACCGGUCGGCGCCGUUGGUCGAGAAGACGCUCGAACUUGAUCGUUUAGAGGAAGUAAAAGUCGUAACA
rnacentral:rRNA from 1 species